CUGCAUUAGGCAGCCGCUCGCGCGCAAGCGUUGAGAGGAAAGUCCGGACACGCACAUCGAUCAGAUGUAGUACGGUAGCGGGUAACGCCCGCCGGGGUAAUCCUAGGGAUGCGAACAGAGACGUCCGAGCCGAGAGGCAAAGACACCCCUGUCUGCCGACAGGCAGGCGCAAGGGUGAGCCAGUGUGGAAACGCAUUGGGUGCAACGGCAAAAAUCCUACCUGCGUGCAAGGCCGUGCUUGGUCGUGCCGCUUUGAACAUUCGGUGUUCAGUGCGGCAUGACUGAGAGAGCCGCGCGAGGUGAGUGGCAACAUUCAUCCCAGAUACAUGGCUGCCCCCGACAGAAUCCGGCUUAUUGUGCAGUGCA
rnacentral:RNase_P_RNA from 3 species